AACGAACGCUGGCGGCAUGCCUAACACAUGCAAGUCGAACGAGACCUUCGGGUCUAGUGGCGCACGGGUGCGUAACGCGUGGGAACCUGCCCUUAGGUUCGGAAUAACUCCCCGAAAGGGGUGCUAAUACCGGAUAAUGUCUUCGGACCAAAGAUUUAUCGCCUUUGGAUGGGCCCGCGUUGGAUUAGCUAGUUGGUAGGGUAAAAGCCUACCAAGGCGACGAUCCAUAGCUGGUCGGAGAGGAUGAUCAGCCACACUGGGACUGAGACACGGCCCAGAAUCGUACGGGAGGGAGGAGUGGGGAAUAUUGGAAGAUGGGCGAAAGCCUGAUCAAGCAAUGCCGGGUGAGUGAUGCAGGCCUUAGGGUUGUAAAGCUCUUUUACCCGGGAUGAUAAUGACAGUACCGGGAGAAUAAGCUCCGGCUAACUCCGUG
rnacentral:rRNA from 1 species